UGUAAAAAAAUUUUUUAAAAUUUCUUAAAACAAGAAAUUAUUCGAAAAAUAUAAAUAAAUUGUGUAUACUUAACGAAAACAACAAAAAAAACAAAUUUAAGAAUUAAAAAAAAGUUUUGAAAAAAAUACCAUAAAUAAAUCAUUUAAACGAAUUUGUGUAUUAAAAAAAAGCUAAAGGUAAAUUUGAAUUUAUCUUAAAUAUUAAAAUAAACCCAAAAAAUUAAGUGACAAAUUUUAGUGAAACUUUCAUUUGCGGAAAAUUGCAUAAAACUACAAAUUAUUUAUUCGAAAUACUGCGAAAUUGUUAACUUGAAAAAACUGUAAAAUUCGCCACAAAAGAAAGGUGAUAGUAAUUCGAAAAAUAAAUGCAAUUACAUUACGUAUUUAUAAAAUACUAGAAUUCAAAAGUUUCCCACUCAAAAGUUAAAAAUACUCUUAACAAAAAUUAAAACUCAACCAUAUUAAAUAAAUGUUAAUUUUUUAUUUAAUUCAAGCAAAAACUUAACGUUAAAAUUAUUUAAAAUAAUUAAAUAAACUAGAGCCCUGUUUUAAUAAUUUAUUUUUUUAGUUCAGCAACCAGCAACAGCAAAACUUGUGCAGCAAGCAGCAACUAAAUAAUUUAUAAUUUUAUUCAAAAUACAACAAAAUUACAAAUUUUCAAACUAAAAAUUUUCAACUUUCGUCAAUAUUAAUUUUUUUGUUUUCCAAAAACAUACAAGGCUCUAGUAAAAACCAAAAAAAAAACACAACAUUUUUUUCUAAAUCAAAAAUUAAAAAAGUUUGGGAUUUUAUAAUAAAAAAAAAACAAAAUUAAACAAUUUUAUUAAAAUCACGGAAUUUUAACAACAAAAAAAAAAAAAAUUAUGGAAAUUUUGGCGAAUUCAUUAACCAACCGAAGACAAAUUGUAUUUCAAAAGUGUAUUUAAAACAAAAAGCGGACUUUAUUAUCAAAAUUCAAAAUUUUCUUUUUGGAAAAAAGAACAAGGAAACCUGUAAAAUAACCACAAAAGGGAAAUCAAUACAUUUGUUUGGCUUCGAUUUCUUGCAAAAAAAAAAAACAACAACAUACGAACAACAAAUCAAACAAACAAAUCUUUCAUGGACCAGACAACCAACAAAAGUCAAUUCAUUAGAAAAAAUCGUUAGAAAAAAGUGUUAAUAAAAUAUUUUACGUUUUCUGCAAAAAAAAAAAACACUUUUUUGGCCCUAAAACAAACGUUUCUAAUUACAAACUAAGUUUUUUUUUAUAAUUUUUUCUAUUAACUUAAAUCAAUUAAAUUGUGCGCGUUUUUUAAAAAUUGUUGCGUAAAGUAAAAAUCGGACGAAACGUAAGUCGUGUUUGAAAAGUGUCGUAAACGUAAGUGAAAAUUUUAAGAUAAAAGUGAGAGUAAAGCAAAUAAAAGCAGCAGCCUUAGCGCAAACGUAACGGGGACGACGAGCGGCAACAACGGCCAAGAUAAAUAAUUAUCUUAUGGAUUGCUGGACGGGUAACGCCCGACUGGCGAGUGUUUUAGUUUAAGGUAAAUUUAAAUUGAAUUUCUUUAUAUCAACUGUAAGUAGUAAUUCUUAAGAGUUAUUGAUGCAUAUGAAAAUAUUUUUUACAUAAAAAACUGAUCGUGAAAUUGUGACGAUUUCUAUAUAAAGCUGUCUGAUUGAUUCUAAAGUAUUCUACAGAAAACAUAACUGAUCGUAAAGUAUUCUACAGAAAACAUAACUGAUCGUAAAGUAUUUUACAGAAAAGUAUAUAGAAAAUUGACUGACCGAGAAGUUUCUAUAGAAAACUUGAUUGAUCGUGAAGUUGUCUAUAGAAAACUUGACUGAUCGAGAAGUUAUCUAUAGAAAACUUGACUGAUCGACAAGUUGUCUAUAGAAAGCUGGACUGAUCGUGAAGUUUUCUAUA